UUUUCAGACAGGGUCUUGCUCUGUUGCCCAGGCUGGAGCACAGUGGCACAACUGCAGCCUUGGCUUCCUGGGCUCAAGCCAUCCUCCCACCUAAGCGUGCUGAUUAGCUGGGACCACAGGUGUGCACCACCACAUCUGGCUAAUUUUUUAUUUUAUUUUUUUGAAGAGAUAGGGUCUCCCUAUGUUGCCCAGGCUGGAAUGUCUGUUUCAUUAACUGCUAUAUUCCCAGUGCACAGAACAGUGCCUAGUACCUAGUAGGUAUUUUUUUUUAAAGGAUGAUUGAAAGCAUAUAUCUACUCUGAAUAAGAAAGCAACUUUGGUAAUCCCAGCACUUUGGGAGGCCGAGGCGGGCGGAUCAAGAGGUCAGGAGAUCGAGACCAUCCUGGGUAACACAGUGAAACUCCAUCUCUACUAAAACUACAAAAAAUUAGCCAGGCGUGGUAGUGGGUACCUGUACUCCCAGCUACUUGGGAGGCUAAGGCAGGAGAAUGGCACAAACCCUGGAGGCAGAGCUUGCAGUGAGCCGAGAUUGAGCCACUGCACUCCAGCCUGCGCAACAGAGCGAGACUCCAUCUCCAAAAAAAAAAAAAAAAAAAGAAAGCAAGUUUGUGUGUGUAUGUGUGUGUGUGUGUGUGUGAGUCACCAAGGUUGGCCAGAAAGCAAGUUUUUAGCAAGUCAAGUCAUGGAUCCUCAAUGUUGUGUCCUGAUACUAUAGUUACAUAGAGGCAAAUCAAAUCUAUUCAAGAAUGAAACACAAGACCAUGAGUGGUGGCUCACAUUUUGUCAAUCUCACUUCACAAGUGAGGGAACUGAGGUUUAAAGAACUGAAGUUGCCUGAGGGUGUACAGCUAGUUAGUGGUAGAAUUAUCUACACAUAUUCUUUCUACCUCUACCUCCAAAGCUAUAUAUAGACAUGUAAUGACUGCAAGUUGAGUUAGAGAUUAAACAGAAAGCAC
rnacentral:lncRNA from 10 species